rnacentral:rRNA from 1 species
GACGAACGCUGGCGGCGUGCCUAAUACAUGCAAGUUGAGCGCUGAAGGUUGGUACUUGUACCAACUGGAUGAGCAGCGAACGGGUGAGUAACGCGUGGGGAAUCUGCCUUUGAGCGGGGGACAACAUUUGGAAACGAAUGCUAAUACCGCAUAAAAACUUUAAACACAAGUUUUAAGUUUGAAAGAUGCAAUUGCAUCACUCAAAGAUGAUCCCGCGUUGUAUUAGCUAGUUGGUGAGGUAAAGGCUCACCAAGGCGAUGAUACAUAGCCGACCUGAGAGGGUGAUCGGCCACAUUGGGACGGAGACACGGCCCAAACGCCUACGGGAGGCAGCAGUAGGGAAUCUUCGGCAAUGGACGAAAGUCUGAUCGAGCAACGCCGCGUGAGUGAAGAAGGUUUUCGGAUCGUAAAACUCUGUUGGUAGAGAAGAACGUUGGUGAGAGUGGAAAGCUCAGCAAGUGACGGUAACUACCCAGAAAGGGACGGCUAACUACGUG